AGUAGGAGUAGUAGUAGUAGUAGUGGUAGUAGUAGGAGUAGGAGUGGUGGUAGUAGUAGUAGUGGUGGUAGUAGUAGUAGUAGUAGUGGUAGUAGUAGGAGUAGUGGUAGUAGUAGGAGUAGUGGUAGUAGUAGGAGUAGUGGUAGUAGUAGUAGUAGUGGUAGUAGUAGUAGUAGUGGUAGUAGUAGGAGUAGUGGUAGUAGUAGGAGUAGUGGUAGUAGUAGGAGUAGUGGUAGUAGUAGGAGUAGUGGUAGUAGUAGGAGUAGUGGUAGUAGUAGUAGUAGUGGUAGUGGUAGUAGUAGGAGUAGUAG
ensembl:lncRNA